CACACAUGAACUAUGAAGCAUCCAGUCUGUGUCCACACUGGAGAGGUGCUUUAGCAAACUCUUCAAAGCCAAUUGUAACAAUGAAGAGAGAUCAGAAAGAAGUACAAUAACUCCAGGGUUGUUCUGAGUGUCUUCUGAACAAAGAAACAGGGGAAGAGUAAGAUGAGACAAAGCACCAGUGACCACAUCUCAGCUAUUUCACAACCAACCUUAAGGAUCCCGGUUCUGAUGACAGCUAGUUAAGCAUCUCCCGGCUUGUGACUGCUUACCCUUGUGCUUGGCAAGAGGCGAUGGAUAGAAGUUAUGAUAGGUCCUGGUGUGAAAUCACACACAAGCCUCAGCACUGAUACUCUGUGACGACAGCCUCUCCCCAUGGCCUGAGGAUGAUGGAGAAAUCUCUGCUGCCUCCUAUCUAGUACUCGUACUUAGUCCCUCCAUUGGAUAACUUGUACUCUGUGGAAGUAGAAGACAGAAGACUUGACAAUGGACGAAG